rnacentral:misc_RNA from 1 species
GAAAUGCGAUAAGUAAUGUGAAUUGCAGAAUUCAGUGAAUCAUCGAAUCUUUGAACGCAUCUUUCGCUCCUUGGUAUUCCUUGGAGCAUGCCUGUUUGAGUAUCAUGAAAUCUUCAAAGUAAAUCUUUUGUUAACUCAAUUGGUUUCUACUUUGGUAUUGGAGGUCUUUGCAGCUUCACACCUGCUCCUCUUUGUUCAUUAGCUGGAUCUCAGUGUUAUGCUUGGUUCCACUCGGCGUGAUAAGUUAUCUAUCGCUGAGGACACUGUAAAAGGUGGCCAAGGUAAAUGCAGAUGAACCGCUUCUAAUAGUCCAUUGACUUGGACAAUACUUUUAUGAUCUGAUCUCAAAUCAGGUAGGACUACCCGCUGAACUUAAGC